rnacentral:rRNA from 1 species
AGGAUAAACGCUGGCGGCGUGCCUAACACAUGCAAGUCGAGCGGUGAUCCUCCUUCGGGAGGUGAUCAGCGGCGAACGGGUGAGUAACACGUGGGCAACCUGCCCCUCACACUGGGAUAACCUCGGGAAACCGGGGCUAAUACCGGAUACGACCUCGAGCGGCAUCUCUUGAGGUGGAAAGCUCCGACGGUGAGGGAUGGGCCCGCGGCCUAUCAGCUUGUUGGUGGGGUAAUGGCCUACCAAGGCGACGACGGGUA